AACGAACGCUGGCGGCGUGGAUUAGGCAUGCAAGUCGAACGGAACUUCUAGCUUUUUCGGAAGUUUAGUGGCGAAAGGGUGAGUAACACGUGGGUUACCUGCCCUAGGGUUCGGGAUAACCUGUCGAAAGACGGGCUAAUACCGGAUACGUCCUGUAUCUUUCGAGAUACAGGGGAAAGAUGGGGAUCCGUAAGGACCUAUCACCCUUGGAUGGGCCCGCGGCCUAUCAGCUAGUUGGUGAGGUAAUGGCUCACCAAGGCUAAGACGGGUAGCUGGUCUGAGAGGAUGGUCAGCCACACUGGAACUGAGACACGGCCCAGACUCCUACGGGAGGCAGCAGUGGGGAAUCUUAGACAAUGGGGGCAACCCUGAUCUAGCCAUGCCGCGUGAGUGAUGAAGGCCCUAGGGUUGUAAAGCUCUUUCAGCUGGGAAGAUAAUGACGGUACCAGCAGAAGAAGCCCCGGCUAACUCCGUAG
rnacentral:rRNA from 1 species